rnacentral:lncRNA from 1 species
CCUUGUAUCCCCUUCGUCUCUCAAAUGCUCUCAACCCUUGUCUGAAACCCUAGCCCCAUUUCACAAGUCUCCGACCUUAUUUCACCGGAAACCAUGGCUUCUCAGAUUCUGAGUAGCCUGUACUUACCCCCACAUACCUCUAUACUCCUUUUGCUCGAGGUUUUAGAGUCCGACCUUGAAGAUCUUGACUCAAAAUCUCUCUGAUUCAGUUUCUACGCCCAUUUCCGGCUCAUCUCUGGCGAGUCCUAGCCCAGUGAGUCCAUCUCCGACUCAGGACCAGCCCGUUCCAGGCCUUUCUCAUUUUUCUUGGGUUUUCUCUGAAACCUAUGCCCUCGAGGUUUUCUUUAUUUCUCUCUAAGAUCUACUUUAGAUUCGUGCUAUUUUCUAAGAUUUUAAAGUAUUUUCCACACUUUUUUCGAUUUUUGCUUUCAAAACUUUUCAUCUUCUCAAAACUUAGGGUUUCUGUAAUUUCUACAUGUUCUAUUGUGAUUUCUUACUUUAUUUGGCUUUGCUGUAAACUCUAAGUGUUUUCACUAUGAUUUCUAGUUAUUUUCUUUACUCUGUUUCUUCCUAGGGAUUCCGAGUAGUUUCUUUACUGUCUUUUUAUUUACUUAAGUUUCCAUGAAUGUUUUGGGUUCUUUGGACUUCCUGAGUUUAUUUUUUGCCUGAUUUUAUAUGCUUUCGAC